AUCAGCAUUUCCCCAAACUUAUCAAAACCAGCAAAACAUGCAGCGUACCAAGUUUUCAAAAUGAUAGAGUUUUUUAAGGACUACCCCGUCCUUACCAGACUAGCAGUCUGCGCAGCAUGAACCCCAACGGUUUGCUGUUACAAAACUACAUCGAGUGUCGAGUAAUUUUCUAUAGUGAUGGUCAAGGCGAAGAAACCAAAGAAGAAGUACCUGUCGCGGUAAAAGACGCCGUUGUUUUUUUCCCAAGCAGUCAGCCGUUCGUUUGCAAGCGGAGUCCUAAUUUCGUGCACUGAUAAUGCAUCAGGGUACACGUCAUGGAUGCCGGGCGGGCCUAAGGGAAAAGACAGUGUCUAUAUUGGAUACAUUGGCUCAUCCAAGUGGGAUGACCAAGAUGGAAAUAAGUUUUAUUUUGGAUUCAUCUGUGAAAUCACGCCUCUUGUUCGAUUGGUUUGACAAUAACCAUGUACACCUAUUUUAAAAAAACGUUGUCAGUGCCAACGGUAAAUGGCGAUUGGCAAACGGUAGUUCCAGCUCCGAAGGGUACCAUGCGUCUCAUUAUAUUUUCAACCAAAUGCAGGAGAAAAUGAAGCAAUCAUAGUAUGAUAAAUUAAAGCCUGUCGAUUUAUAGCUCUGGCAUAGCUGGAGUUCAUUUUAAACCUUUCGCGGUUUUGGAAGUGUGGAACUGCUAUCAUCCAUUCGCCAUUUGCACUGACAAGGUUUCUUUUAUCGCAGUGGCUAUAUGUCCGACAGUCGGGAAAGGUACUCAAUGGACUAUAUGCCCGACAGUCGGGAAAGGUCCUCAAUGGACAAAAUGCCCGACAGUUUUCAAUUUUUUUUCCAACAACCCAGAAUUGUCGACCUAGUGAGUUCAAAGUAUUCUAUAUUUGUUGAGAAAGGGCAAGCAAACCUAAAUUGAGUUUUGUUGUCGGUAUUGGAUGUUUUCUGUUGUCUAGGCACACUAUAGAAUCGUUAUUUUAGUGGCACUGGAAUUUUCUAUGAUAUGCUGCUAAAUGUAGCCAGUUCUCAAUUUACCAAAAUAUCACAGUAAAUUAUCGACCUAGUGAGCUCAAAGUAUUGUAUAUUUGUGGAGAAAGGGCAAUUGAAUCUAAUUUGAGCUUUGUAUUCGUAACGUUUUUCCUUGCAGUGACACUGAAUUUUAUCUUCUACAACUGUCGGGACAGGUCUCCAAUGGACUAUAUGCCCGACAGUUUCCAAUUUAUUCAAAUAAGCCAGUAAAUUGUCAGCCUAGUGAGUUCAAAUUAUCCUAUAACUGUUUAGAAAGGGCAACAGAUUUAUAAUUGAAUUGGGCAUUUAGGCCAUUGAGGAUAUUUCCCGACUGUCAGGCUAUAGCCGUUUUUUAAUUAGAUGUACGGGCUUCUGUUUUACAGCUUCCGAUAUUUUCUGCACGCGGGACUAUUUAUCAUUACCGUCAUUUUUAUCAUUUUGAGUAUUCGAGAAUAUCAAUGAAUAUCACAAAGAAAAUUCACGCACUGUCUGACUGGUGAAAAGAUCCUUACAAGGUCACGCUAUGACGCAAUAUAAAAUAUGUUAUGAAACAUUUCUGUUUCUUAUUCAAUAAAUCAUGUGAGUUUGAAUUUCAA